AGCUUUGCUCAGUGGCAGUAUCGUAGCCAAUGAGGUUUAUCUGAGGCGAGAGUAUUGCUAAUUGAAAACUCUUCCCAAUACCCCGCCUUGAUGACUUGCAAUAUAGUUGGCAUUGGCAAUUUUUGACAGUCUCUAUGGCGA
ensembl:snRNA U4 U4 spliceosomal RNA